rnacentral:rRNA from 1 species
GAUGAACGCUGGCGGCGUGCCUAAUACAUGCAAGUCGAGCGAACAGACGAGGAGCUUGCUCCUCUGACGUUAGCGGCGGACGGGUGAGUAACACGUGGAUAGCCUACCUAUAAGACUGGGAUAACUUCGGGAAACCGGAGCUAAUACCGGAUAAUAUAUUGAACCGCAUGGUUCAAUAGUGAAAGACGGUUUUGCUGUCACUUAUAGAUGGAUCCGCGCCGCAUUAGCUAGUUGGUAAGGUAACGGCUUACCAAGGCAACGAUGCGUAGCCGACCUGAGAGGGUGAUCGGCCACACUGGAACUGAGACACGGUCCAGACUCCUACGGGAGGCAGCAGUAGGGAAUCUUCCGCAAUGGGCGAAAGCCUGACGCAGCAACGCCGCGUGAGUGAUGAAGGUCUUCGGAUCGUAAAACUCUGUUAUUGGGGAAGAACAGAUGUGUAAGUAACUAUGCACGUCUUGACGGUACCUAAUCAAAAAGCAACGGCUAACUACGUG